GUUUGAAGAUCGUGCGCCAACCGACUAGCAAGCGACUAUAUGAUACCAGCGACUGAAGCGGACCCAGUGUACGGAUCACGAAUCGGUUAUACGGAAGAAACGCAACGAUCAUAGAUUGGUGGAUUGCCAGAUCACCUAUCUACAGCUUGUGGAAAUGAAGGGGGCCUACAGAAUUGGAGAUUAACAAAUUGCUGCCAGUAAAGUAAAAUGUAGAUCAAUUUUGAUUACAAGAUCCAUACCACCAAAGUGUUUUGAAUUUAGACUUUUUAUGCAGAGCUUGUACAAAUGAAGGGAACCACAGGCUUGGAAGUUAUUCAUUAACAAAUUGCAGCAACUGUUGUUAAAUGUUUAUCCAUUUUCAUUACAAGGUAAGUAGUCAAAAUCUGAAUUGUCAGGUACCUUCAAUCAUACAGAAUAGAUCCAUACCACUAAAGUGUUUUUCAUUUAAACUUUUUGUGUAAAACUUAUAGAAAUGGAGUUAUUUUCUCAUUUCAUCAUUAACAUUAAAAUUUCUUACAGCAAGAAAAAAAUUGCAGAUAUUUAUAAUUAUUUAUAAAUUGAACGAAUAAAUGUUUAUAAUUAAUAAAUUAUAUGAAGUAUAUAUAUUCGCUUCUGUUAUCCCCGCUCCUUUUAUUUUACUCUAUUCAAUUAAUAAAAAAAAUAAUAAUUUAGACUUCUUAUGUAGAGUUUACCGAAAUAUCAAUUUUAUUAUUAUAAAUUUAAAAUAGAUUCUAUAUAAUAAAUUAUUUGUAAAAAGAAGUGAGAUCCGAUAAAAAAAUUCAAAAAAGUAAAAAAAUUACGUCGAGUACAUGAAAAAA